rnacentral:rRNA from 1 species
GACGAACGCUGGCGGCGUGCCUAAUACAUGCAAGUAGAACGCACAGUUUAUACCGUAGCUUGCUACACCAUAAACUGUGAGUUGCGAACGGGUGAGUAACGCGUAGGUAACCUGCCUGGUAGCGGGGGAUAACUAUUGGAAACGAUAGCUAAUACCGCAUAAUAUUGAUUAUUGUAUGAUAAUUGAUUGAAAGAUGCUAUUGCAUCACUACCAGAUGGACCUGCGUUGUAUUAGCUAGUAGGUGAGGUAACGGCUCACCUAGGCGACGAUACAUAGCCGACCUGAGAGGGUGAUCGGCCACACUGGGACUGAGACACGGCCCAGACUCCUACGGGAGGCAGCAGUAGGGAAUCUUCGGCAAUGGACGAAAGUCUGACCGAGCAACGCCGCGUGAGUGAAGAAGGUUUUCGGAUCGUAAAGCUCUGUUGUAAGAGAAGAACGGGUGUGAGAGUGGAAAGUUCACACUGUGACGGUAUCUUACCAGAAAGGGACGGCUAACUACGUG